rnacentral:other from 1 species
UCUAGUCGAUAAUUAAUGUCGACUACGAUUUAAGAGCUUUUCUUAUAUGACCGAGAUAAAAUUUUUUAGGAGGUACUGAUUAUGAAUAACGGUACAGUAAAAUGGUUUAACGCAGAAAAAGGUUUUGGAUUUAUCACACCCGACAAUGGUGGAGAUGAUGUAUUUGUACAUUUCUCUUCCAUUCAGUCCAAUGGAUUUAAAUCCUUAAACGAAGGACAGAAAGUAUCUUUUGAUACAGAAGCUGAUCCUAAGGACAGCCGCAAAACACGCGCUGUUAAUGUUUGCGCAAUAUAAACCUUUACAAGGCCACUCUUCGGAGUGGCUUUUUCAU